rnacentral:misc_RNA from 1 species
GAUGAAGAACGUAGUGAAAUGCGAUAAGUAAUGUGAAUUGCAGAAUUCCGUGAAUCAUCGAAUCUUUGAACGCACAUUGCGCCCGCCAGCAUUCUGGCGGGCAUGCCUGUUCGAGCGUCAUUUCAACCCUCGAGCCCCCCCGGGGGCCUCGGUGUUGGGGGACGGCACACCAGCCGCCCCCGAAAUGCAGUGGCGACCCCGCCGCAGCCUCCCCUGCGUAGUAGCACACACCUCGCACCGGAGCGCGGAGGCGGUCACGCCGUAAAACGCCCAACUUUCUUAGAGUUGACCUCGGAUCAGGUAGGAAUACCCGCUGAACUUAAGCAUAUCAAUAAGCGGAGGA